GACGAACGCUGGCGGCGUGCUUAAUACAUGCAAGUCGAACGGACAGGCGCUGAUUUUGUGGGGUGCUCGAGUGGCGAACGGGUGAGUAAAACGUGAGUAACAUGCACUUGACUUUGGGGUAAAAUCAGGAAACUGGGGCUCAUACCGGAUAGGAGCUCCUGCUGCAUAGUGGGGAAUAGAAAGAUACGGCGGUUCGGGAUGGAUUCGCUGCUUAUCCGCUGGUUGGUGAGGUAGUGGCUUUCCAAGGCUAUGACGGGUAGCCGGCCUGGGAGGGUGACCGGCGCCAUGGGGACUGAGGGACGGCCCAGACGCCUACGGGAGGCAGCAGUGGGGAAUAUUGCAGAGUGGGCGGAAGCCUGAGGCAGCAACGCCGCGUGCGGGAUGACGUCUUUCGGGGGGUAAACCGCUGUCUCCGGUGACGAAGCGUGAGUGACGGUAAUGGGUAAAGAAGCACCGGCUAACUACGUG
rnacentral:rRNA from 1 species